UACAGGGGAGGGACAGCUGUUGUGAAUUACUGGGCGUAAAGGCGCGCUGUGAGCGGCUUGUUGCGUCAGCUGUGAAAACCCGCAGCUCAACUGUGGGCUUGCAGCUGAUACGGGCAGGCUUGAGUUCGGUAGGGGAGACUGGAAUUCCUGGUGUAGCGGUGAAAUGCGCAGAUAUCAGGAGGAACACCGGUGGCGAAGGCGGGUCUCUGGGCCGAUACUGACGCUGAGGAGCGAAAGCGUGGGGAGCGAACAGG
rnacentral:rRNA from 1 species